rnacentral:lncRNA from 10 species
GCCAGCUUGGCUAGAAUAUAAGCAGGGAGAAAAAUGUGAAAAGAGAGACUGGCCUAGCCUCCCAGCCUACAUCUUUCUCCUGUGCUGGGUGCUUCCUGCUUUUGAACAUUGGACUCCAAGUUCUUCAGUUUUGGGACUGGGACUGGCUCUCCUUGCUCCUCAGCCUGCAGACGGCCUAUCGUGGGACUUUGUGAUCGGGCACUUCCUUGGACCAUGUUUUGAAUGCCUUGCCUGCACAGCUUACCUCUUCCUUGGACACUGCCAGUGCUACCAUAUUUGAGAUGAUGGGUCGGUCGUUUUUGUUUUGCAGUGGUAGUUUCUCUGGAGAACUCUGGCUAACACAGGAAGCACUUCCUCCUGAGAAUAGCAUCCAAUGAUAACAUUUUGCAACUUAUGUAUCUUACAACUGGAGGAAGAAGUGGCUGUGUAAAGGAGAAACAGGGAUAGAAUGCCCUUCAAUUUUUGGCUUCCUGAUCCCUGGAAAGAUUGGACAGACCCAGAAAGAAAGGUGACUGGACUGGAUGUCAAAUUUUAGUCGGUCUGCUUUUAUGAAUAAGGAAUAUUCAUAAGGCAAAGAGGAGACACAUCACAUCACUUUGUAGGGAGCAAAAAGUUGUUUGCAAGCGUCUCUCUGAGUCAACAAGCUUCAGUUAGAAAGCAGUGUUCCUAACUGAAGUAGAUUAUCACCUAAGGAUGAAAAUGAAGCCACAUAAAAGUAUUGAAUCCUUGGGUUGGGUUACUUCAGACUUCUGGUCUUUUUUUUGUGUGCUGACCUCCCGUGGACUUUUCAGGCAGCCCCCACGGUGAGCAGGAAGAGAACCAUGGGGCUUAAUCAUGCACGAAAUCCUCCAUCAGUGCAAGGGCUGGGGAAGGAGGGCUAUUAUUUGCACAUGGGGAGGCAUGAGCAUCAUUAAACUGUUUCGCUGCAGAGAAUCUACAUGUACCAGAGAUGAAGAGUGAGAGUAACUCAGUAUCUUCAUUUGUAAGCUAAGUUUUCUAGUAAAAAUACAAGUACACAAAUAAAGAGCAUUCAUUUUUCU